UGGGGAAUAUUGCACAAUGGGCGCAAGCCUGAUGCAGCCAUGCCGCGUGUGUGAAGAAGGUCUUCGGGUUGUAAAGCACUUUCAGCGGGGAGGAAGGCGAUAAGGUUAAUAACCUCAUCGAUUGACGUUACCCGCAGAAGAAGCACCGGCUAACUCCGUGCCAGCAGCCGCGGUAAUACGGAGGGUGCAAGCGUUAAUCGGAAUUACUGGGCGUAAAGCGCACGCAGGCGGUCUGUCAAGUCGGAUGUGAAAUCCCCGGGCUCAACCUGGGAACUGCAUUAGAAACUGGCAGGCUAGAGUCUUGUAGAGGGGGGUAGAAUUCCAGGUGUAGCGGUGAAGUGCGUAGAGAUCUGGAGGAAUACCGGUGGCGAAGGCGGCCCCCUGGACAAAGACUGACGCUCAGGUGCGAAAGCGUGGGGAGCAAACAGG
rnacentral:rRNA from 1 species